rnacentral:rRNA from 1 species
UACGAAGGGGGCUAGCGUUGUUCGGAUUCAUUGGGCGUAAAGGGUGCGUAGGCGGCGCGGUAAGUCGGAUGUGAAAUCUCGGAGCUUAACUUCGAAACUGCAUUCGAUACUGCCGUGCUUGAGGACUGGAGAGGAGACUGGAAUUUACGGUGUAGCGGUGAAAUGCGUAGAUAUCGUAAGGAAGACCAGUGGCGAAGGCGGGUCUCUGGACAGUUCCUGACGCUGAGGCACGAAGGUCAGGGGAGCAAACGGG